rnacentral:rRNA from 1 species
AUGACUAAUGUUGAGGUGGAGCUUGACUGUCAAGUGCUCAUCAAUGCACUGCGAAGCAAUAUUGCUGAUCUAGCUCCGGAGGGAAUCUUGUUUCAGGAAAUACGUACAUUUGCCUGGCUGAAUUUCAAUAGUGUUUCUUUCUCUUUUGCCCCGAGGGCAUGUAAUAAUCUUGCGCAUGCUUUAGCUGUGUUUGGUGCUAGUCGCCAAGUAGUUCAGGAGCUUUGGUCUGAGGACCUUCCAAAUGAUGUAAACGUCCAGUUGGCCAGCAUUUUAGCUGGACCAGUGUGA